GCAUAUCACAGGUUAAUAUUAUCAUUUACUCCACAUAACCUUCCAACUGUUUUUCGUUAGUAUUUUAAAAUUAAGAAAAAGUAAUCCCUUACGUUGAUUGAUAAUGUUCGUGAAGAAUUCUCCUGUUGAUCUCUAUAAAUACCCACUAAAGCUUCUGAUUUACUGAACAACUGAUUUUUCAAGGAAAUGACAACAAAUUGAAAACCGCUGGAUGCAUGCUGUCUAAUAUAGUUGGCAAUCUUGGUAACGUUGGUUUGAUCCAAAGCUGCAUCAAUUUCAUCCAAUACAAAAAAUGGGGAUGGCUGAUAAGAGUGGAUAGCAAAUAGCAGAGCCAAAGCAGCCAUGGUCUUUUCUCCUCCAGAAAGUUGAUCCAUAUCUCUAAAUCUCUUCAUAGGUGGCAUUGCAUGGAACUUGAUUCCUCCAAGAUAUGGCUCAUCGAGGUCAUCCAAAGUCAAAUACGCUGUUCCACCAAGAGGAAAAGCAGGACUUUUGGUAAGUUCCUUAUAUAUUGGAUCGAUUUGUUCCGAGAUAUGCGAAAAGGCAGCUUGAAAUUUUUGCAAUCUCUUUUGCUUAACGGCAUUGAAGCGUUCUUUUGCGUUUUUGGCUGCUUUACGAGCAGCAGCAAAUUCUUCAUCUAACUUCGCCAAGCGAGUUUCUACUGUUUCAAGUCUCUCAAUAGCCCUUAAAUUAGGAGACAUCUGAUCCAGCUCUUCCGAAUACUCUCUCAAUUUUUCUUGAAGAACAGAAGCCAUACUCUCAGAACCGUCAUUGCGUAACUCUUCAUCCAGUUCAUCGUAAUCCACUUCUACUCCAAAUUUCUCAAAAUUUAUUACUGGUUCAGACGGCUCUUCGCCCAUGGUGAUAUCACCGCUGUUUGAGACAUCAUCUAUAGGUAUGCUCGUCAAAGAUCCUUCGCGUAACGGAACAUCUAUAUCUUCUAGUUUGCAUUUUCGUAAAAUUGCGUGCCAUUCAGAUACAUAGCGGUCAAUCUCCGAUUCUAAAAGAGUAAUGUUUCCUGAUAACUUUGUUAACUCAGACACUAAUCGUUUGCCCACUAGCUUUUUCUCGGAUGCAGCUAAUAAAAUUUUUUCAGUUUUAGAGUUCUCACUUGCAAAAUCCUCCUUUAAUAAUUCAAGCUCAGCCUCGGCAGUUGCAACUUCUGAUUCAAGUGCUUCCCGAUUUUGCUCGUAAUUAUCAAUAGAUUCCUGAUCUUUUUCAAUGAAUUUAUGCAUACGCUCUAAUCGUAACCUGG